AACGGCCGUACCAUGCUGAAUAUACCGGUUCUCGUUAGAUCAUCGAAGUUAAGCAUCAUUGGGAGCGGUCUAAUAGGUGAAAAUAAAGUACAUUGGGUGGGUGACCACCUGGGAACACUGCGUGCCGUU